UGAGGAAUAUUGCGCAAUGGAGGCAACUCUGACGCAGCCAUGCCGCGUGCAGGAAGACGGCCCUACGGGUUGUAAACUGCUUUUAUCCGGGAAGAAACCCCUCCACGUGUGGAGGGUUGACGGUACCGGAGGAAUAAGCACCGGCUAACUUCGUGCCAGCAGCCGCGGUAAUACGAAGGGUGCAAGCGUUAUCCGGAUUCAUUGGGUUUAAAGGGUGCGUCGGCGGGGCAUUAAGUCAGUGGUGAAAGCCCGCAGCUCAACUGCGGAAUUGCCAUUGAUACU
rnacentral:rRNA from 1 species